ensembl:ncRNA F44E5.16 ncRNA
AGCUUCUGACGGAAAGGGAGUGGUUGUUACGACCACGAAGCUUUUUUAAGAAUCUUGUGAGUGUGUGAAGAUGCGGUGAUGGAGGUAACCCCCGUCGCUAAAAUUUUGGAAAAGGAUCCCGGAAGGGAUCCAAAA